CUCAUCCAUAGGCAGCGCUGUGCCUGAGGUGGGACUUGGGUACUUUGGCUCUGAAGAGGCUGCCUGUGCCAUUGAGCAUCAGAGUUUGCCAGCCCUCUGCAAGAACCACUCAGGAUGGAGACAGUGAUACAUGAGAUGAAACAGAAGCGUGGAUACCUCCAUCACCCUCGGGUGCCCUUCACCAUGCUGGCCCCUGGACUACAACAGACCCUUGACUAGUUAUGACUACAAGCCGUAUUUCAUGUAUUAUUAGGAAAGCAGAGCUUUUGCAGGCAACCCCACAGUGUGAGAUCCAGAAUUACCUGCCAACUGCCAUGGCGAUGACUGGAGUCCCCAUCCCACCAGCUCACCCAUGGGGUGUCGUCACUGGGAGAGCACACUCAUGGAGGUAAGCUCAUGAAAUGCUGCCACUAAUUAAUAACCAAGGGAAAAAAGGAAACCAGCUCAAUGCCUCUGGGUAACUCCGCUGGGUAAAUCACUACCCAGAACAAGCCAAGAUUCAUUUCUGGCCAAAAUUCCUGCACUAACACUAAACUGCUGCUUGAUUAAGUGAUUUUUCCUGAGCUCGUGAUGCAAGGCAUUGUCAGGGAAAGGGCUUAUGCAAGGCUGCAGCAGUCCCUGCUGAAUGCUUGAGCCAUUCAGUGAUCCAACCCACCACACACCCCGUCAGGUCUGUUACCUGCCAUCAGCUCCCCCACUGGAAAAACAUGCAAUUUUCCAAAGGUAAGAGAGUCUUGGGUUACUAGGAACACAAAUCAUUACGAGUAAAACUGCAUUCCCAAUUUAUUGUAUUUGUUUUAUUUAUAAUUUUAUUACUUAUUCCACAUUUUCCAUAUUUUCCAUGUGUUUCACGUCAUUCUUGUCCAUUCAGGCCUUUACGUGGAAACUUGGGCUCUUCUCCACUGCUUAAUGUGUUGAAGGCUUUAUAAACAGCCUUGAUUCAUUGUUUGCUCUGCAUGCUUCCAUCCUAAGAGCAUGCAGCUAAUGUUGUGCCUGGUAUAAGUCUGAAUGUUCUUUCACUGGGGAACUAGAUGGGAUGAGAAGGGAAGAAAAGCAAUGAUUAUUGUGAUAAGCAGGUGAAAAUAAAGACCAUCAAACUGUUCACCUGGAGUUCUAACAAAGAACAGUUUGAGACUGUUCUGAUUUGGGUUGUGUUUUCUUUCAGGGUUUUAAGUUGUCAAAGACAGAGAUUUUUCCAUGUGCCGCAGUCAAGGUUGAAGACUGGUCAAUGUGUUGCACGUGCACACCCAGAUUUACCACUGACUGAAUGAUGAGGAAACCCCUCCCCACGCUGCUUGGAUCCUUUCCUGCUCUACACUUCUGGAAGAACUAGCUUCGAAACUGCAGCUCCUCCGAGGCUUCUGCAAGGUCAGCAAAGUGUGAACAUGACGCCGAACGCACCCAGAUACUUUCAGAGGUUCAGCAGUCCCUGAAAAGUUUUUUAAUGAUGAAAACAGACUGUCAGAUGAGUUUGGAUUCUGCCACAUGGUCCUAGCGAUAAUAAGCCAUCUGUGUGCAUCGUGCCGCUCGCGACCUUUCCUCUCUCACUUUCCUUCCAAGUCCUCUCUGUUUUGACCUACAUUUGAGUAACCCACCAAAUGCCAGCAGUGCACACAGCAGAGUUAAAUAUGUACUCAGUUACCAACAUGCUAACAAACAGUGAGUCCAUCUACAGCAAAGGGAAAACAAGCAUGUGAAAAAGGGAUGAUCCGUCAAAUGGAAAAGGACCCAUCACGAAUAUAAUCACCCUCUGCUGCAUUUGCCUGAUUACUACAUUUGACCGGCUCCUCUCCCAGUUAGUGGGACUUUUGCUCCUAAAUCCUUUGGGGUAGGGUUUUGAAAGAUGUUGUUUGGUACCAGAAGAUGCAGAUAAUAAUAAAAUAUUUGUAUAAUAAUAUAUACUAUAUAAUUAAUAUAUACUAUUUGUAUAAUAUUUGAAAGCUGCACUUUUAUUUCCUUUUCCAUAGCUGCAAUUCUAAAUUAUGUUCAAAAACUACAGCUUAUACCUCUGCACUAUAGAUAUAUUCAGCUUGUGCUAUUGACGAUUAGUGCUAAGUAAGUAUGUUUGUAAGCAGUUGCAGGAUCAGGAUGUCUGAAAGCUUUACCUUUGUGUAACUUUAUAUAAGAUAAAAUAGGAAAUAAAAGACCUCAUUAUUGCUUUCAA